rnacentral:rRNA from 1 species
UACGUAGGAGGCGAGCGUUGUCCGGAAUUACUGGGCGUAAAGAGCGCGUAGGCGGCACGGUACGACAGGUGUGAAAGCCCCCGGCUCAACUGGGGAGAGUCAUCUGUAACGGCCGAGCUAAGAGUGCAGGAGAGGGAAGUAGAACUCCGGGAGUAGCGGUGAAAUGCGUAGAGACCCGGAGGAAUACCAGUGGCGAAGGCGGCUUCCUGGUCUGCGACUGACGCUGUGGCGCGAAAGCUAGGGGAGCAAACGG